AUGACUGUUAUUAAAGGUAGAUGACUUUCCAGCAUGUCGAAAGGGGCGUGGCAGGGGAGGGGCGAGGAGGAGGGUCGGGGCUGAGGGAGGGGCCCUGCAAAGGUCUGGGCCCGCCCAGCUCCCCGAGACCAAGCGUUAUGGCAACGCUGGGCAGGCUGUCGGAAGCUCCCGGGCUCUGUCUUGUCAGAGAGAAAUCAAACUUCAGGCACAAAUAGUCGUGCAACUGGCAAGUGGGGAGACUGUGUCACAAUUACAAGUGAGACCACCUGCCCUGGCCACGCUGUCUCCUCGCACGCAGGAGAAGUUUGGGAACAGAUAGGCUCCCCUCAGCAGGGCGGAAUUGCACUGGAAACAUGGAGGGGCGGAGGAGAAGAUGAAAUUUUCCCCGCAGUGUUGGAACUGUAGUCUCAGAGAAGAUGAAAUUUUCCCCGUAGUGUUGGAACUGUAGUCUCAGAUCCACUCCCAGGCUUUUUGUCGCGGCAGUCGGACUAUAAUCCCAGCAUGCGCUGGGCUUAGGGGAGGUGCCCAGCCCUGGAGGAAGGGUCAACAGGGUGGGUCCCUCGCAAGGCAUCCUGGGAGUCAUAGUCCUUAAACGGUUUCCAGCACGUUGAUCGGAAGGCUACCGAACUACAAUCCCAGCAUGCACCGGGAUUGGGGCGGUGUGUAACCCUGGAGGGAAGGAUAGAGAGGCUCGUCCCUGGCCAGGGAUGCUGGGAGUUAUGGUCUCUUAAAGGUUUCCAGCGAUGGCCCCCGGCCUGCAGACUACAAUCCCAGCAGCACCGGGCUUCGAGGCGGUGUGUAGCACUGAAGGGAAGGACAGGGAGGUGCGACCUUUGCCAGGCGUGCUGGGAAUUAUAGUCUCUUAACAGUUUCCAGUCAGUUGGUCUCAGGGCUACCUGACUACAAUCCCAGCAUGCGUUGGGCUUGGAGGCGGUGCGCAGCCCUAGAGGAAGGAUUGGGACGGCGGGUACCUCGCAAGGCAUUCUGGGGGUCAUAGUCCUUUAAGUAUUUCCAGCCCAUUGGUCGCGAGGCUAACGGACUACAAUCUCAGCAUGCGCUGGGUUUGGGGGCGGUGUGUAGUAUGGAAGCGAAGGAUAGGGAGGCGCGUCCCUAGCUAGGAGUGCUGGGAGUUAUGGUGUCUUAACGAUUUCCAGCCCAUUGGUCGCCGACCUGCUAACUACAAAACCAGCAUGCGCUGUCUGUCCUCCCCCGUGGUGCGCAGCCCUGGAGGGAGGGACAGGGCGGUGUGGACCUGGUCCUUUCCUAAGCGAUGCCACAUGCUGAUUCUGUGCCAACCCCUCGCCAAGGGAGUCCGCAGAAGGACUUGAGGGGCAGGUCUAGGCUGGGCGAUGAGGACGGUGUGACCCUGCGAAGUGCACCUCCGUUGCUCAAAUCGGAGGUGUCUGGUCCUCACUGCACAGCCCACUGCACAUCUCGGUGUCCUCUCAGAUACACACCCGCGGGGGGUUUCCAGAGCAUCGCACCUCUUCCAGCCCAAGAAGCCGCCUGCUCUGCUAAACUCCAUGGGAACUGAGACAUCCACCUGCUGCGUGGCCCAACCGUGAGCAACUCCAUAGCUUUCAGGGGGUGAUGCGGGCUGUGGCUCCUUCGUGAAAAUGUCACCGUCUGCAGCGCCUUUCUUGUGAUAUAGAACUUGACGCGUGAGAGAGGGUAUUUAUUGGGUUACCCAGGAUCUGCUAACAGCAGAGGAGAAAACCACAAUUCCCAGGCAUAAGAAUCUACCUAAAGAUGAUGGUUUAGAUAUUUUACAGUUGAAAUCACCAGCCUUAUCUCAACUGAGUCCUGACUGACGAGUGUCUCAAAAACGCAGUUGGUGACCUGAUCCCUCAGGAACAGGUGGUGCUCCAGCUUUGUGGGGAUGACUUUCAAGGUGCAGAGCACUUGAGCAGUAUUUGAAGUCAUUCAUGUUUUACAUCUCUGCUUUGGAUGGAAAGUUGAUCACCCACAGCCGUUGGGGAUGUACCUUAAUAUACUGGGGCUUAUCAGUUAAAUUUUUCUGUCUAGACAAUGAAAACCCAGAAAUUCCACUUGCAGGUAGCCUCUUAAUAAUCGACGUCCCUAAGUUCCUUAUGUCCUCAGGAUGGUUCCUUUUGUUCCCAGAUGUUACCAACUUUCAUCAUGCAUCUAAUCUGUACAAACCUGUGUAUUUCUCUAUGUGAAAAGAAUACUUUGUUCAAAUUACAUGUUCUUAUAAUUUUCACUUGUGAUUAGUGAGUAUAGGACACUAUUAAAAAACCUGAAAAACCUCAUCAUAGCAAUUGAAUCACGUUACUGUACUUUAUGAGGAAUUAACCCCUUCAGGAUUAAUUACACAUGGGUUCAUCAGCACAUUUGUAAAGAAAGGAAGAAAAACUGUAUGGCCUUUAUAAAAUUGGAAAAAUAAAGAACUAUAUAUAGGGAGACCACAGAACAAAACUAGGGCCAUUCUCUUAUUUUAAAUAGACUCUAUGGGGUCGAAUGCCUGCAUUCUUAAGCUAUCCUGCAAUAUUCUCAUCCUACUCUUCACUGUGUAUUUAGGUGGGGUUUUCUGAAUUCACUUGUCCAGAGCGUUAGUGGGGAUGUUGUAACGUGAGGGUAUCCAUCGUCUAUCAUCUUAAUAAUUAAUGAAGAGAAGAGCCUUGAGAUCUGUGUUCAGAUGCACUGCUGCUGAGUAUGUGCCUGCAAAGACACUGCCCACAGCGGUGGCCUCAGAAAUUUGAACCUGAUGCCACCACACCUGCUGUUCACAGAUCUAGGUGCUCCUUGUGAUUUGAGUCUCCUGCUUAGAUUUGUGGUUGUGAACCUGCUAUGCUCACUGCAUUUAUGGUAGUAUCUUUUGUGUUGCCUUUUCUAUUCCAUUUGUUUCCUGGUAACUCACUGUGUAACUGCAAUUCAGAGAAUAUGUGCGGAUUCCACCCCCCACUACCUAAGUCACUGUACACUGGUCACAUUUGUGUCAUGUUGUCAGACUCCACGCACUUCCUCUCUAAUGGAAUUUGUGGAAGAAAUAUAGUUACCUGCAGAUCUCCUCAGUGUAAUGUGGCUGGGAUUGAUUACGAAGAUGGGCAUGUUGUCCUUGGCCUCAUUGACAUUAUUCAAAAUACCUUUCCCAUAUUUUGAAGUUUGAUACUACUUUGAUAAUGUGAACACUUGCCAUAGCAGGCUCUAUUAAAUAUCUUUGUGAAUUUAACUGUCAAAACAACUUAUGAAGUAGGCACAUGAUCCCCAUUUUACAGGUGAGGAAACCAAUGUUCCAGGAUUUUGAGUAAUUUAAUGAAUUUUACACAACUUUCUGGUGCAUUUUGAAUCUUAAGUUGAAUCUCUGCCUCCACAGUGUGUGGGCUUACCUCCUUUUCUAUUUUGUGCCUCUCUUCUAGCAUCUGCAAGCGUACAUGUUUUAUUUUUAGUACAUCUACUACUUGAUGGUAGGAAACUUGACAAACAGGUCCUUAGUGGGAGAGAAAACUCACUGGCAUUUGUCCUUCUCUCUGCUGCUUCUUACCCUGGCAGGUGUGAGAUUUAUCAGGUUCCUGCGAAUGAAGUUGCAAAUAUUGAUGAAGAUAAUACUACUGCCUUGCUGUCAAACAGUAACAGUCACUUUUUUUUGUAUCUCCAAUUAUAAAUGCAAUACAUACUGUAAAAAGAAAAGAACACAUCAUAAAUAUCUUUAUAAAGUAAAAUUCUUGGCUGGUGGCCGGGAGAAGUGACUCAUGCAUGUAAUCUCAGCACUUUGUGAGGCCGAGGUGUGUGGAUCAUGAGGUCAGGAAUUUGAGACCAGCCUAGCUGACAUGGUGGAACCCCGUCUCUACUAAAAAAUACAAAAAUUAGCUGGUCUUGGUGGCGGGUGCCUGUAAUCCCAGCUACCCACGAGGUUGAAGCAGGAGAAUCACUUGAACCCAGGAGGUGAAUGGUGCAGUGAGCCAAGAUCGUGCCACUGCACUCUAGCCUGGGCAAGAGAGUGAGACUCCAUCUCAAAAACAAAACAAAACAAAAACUUGGUUGGCCUAGUGGCUCAAUCCCAGCACUUUGGGAGCCCAAGGCAGGUGAAUUGCUUGAGCCCAGAAGCUCAAGACCAGUGUGGGCAACAUGGUAAAACCCUCUCUCUACAAAAAUACAAAAAUUAACCAGUUAUGGUGAUGUACAUCUGUAUUCCCAGCUACUAGGGAGGCUGAGGUGAGAGGAUUGUUUGAGCCUAGGACGCCAAAUUUGCAGUGAGCUGUAAUCACACCACUGCGCUUCCAUGUGGACAACAAAGUGAGACCCUGACUCAAAAAAUAAAGACAUAAUAAACUGAAAGUCCCCUUUAUUCCCUUCUCUUCAAACUCACUUUUUUUUAUUUGAAAAAACUGUUAAGAGGUUGUUUUUUAUUCUUCUGGCUAAGUUGUAUAAAUUUCUUUUCUUUUUUUUUUUUUUUUUGAGAAAGCGUCUCGCUGUGUUGCCCAGGCUGGAGUGGAGUGGCACAAUCUCGGCUCACUGCAAGCUCUGCCUCCUGGUUUCACACCAUUCUCCUGCCUCAGCCUCUCGAGUAGCUGGGACUAGAGGUGUCCACCACCACGCCCGGCUAAUUUUUUGUAUUUUUAGUAGAGACAGGGUUUCACCGUGUUAGCCAGGAUGGUCUUGGUCUCAAUAUCCGCCCCCCUGAUCUGCCCACAUCGUCUUCCCAGAGUGCUGGGAUUACAGGCGUGAGGCACCGCGCCCUGCCUGUUCUAUAAAUUUCUAAGUGAUACACAUAAAGUUUAUUUUAAAAUUUACAUCACACUACAUUUUCUUAAAUCUUCUGUUUCUCCAGGUGUAUUCUAUCUAUCUAUCUAUCUAUCUAUCUAUCUAUCUAUCUAUCUAUCUAUCAUCUAUCUAUCUAUCUAUGACAAGGCCUUGCUCUGUCACCCAGACUGGAGUUCAGUAGCUCAAUUAUGGCUCACUGCAGACUCAAACUCUCAGGCUCAAAUGAUUUUCUAACUUCAGCUUCUGAAGUAGCUGGGAGUACAGGUGCAUGCCACUACUCCUGGCUAAUUGUUAGUUGUUUUUUUUUUUUUUCUUUAAACAGGGUCUCACUCUGUCACCUGGGCUGGAAUGCAAUGCACAAUCACAGCUCACUCUAGCCUUGACGACUCAGGCUCAGGCAAUUCUCCUGCCUCAGCCUCCUGAGCAGCUGGGACCACAAAUGUGUAUUAGCACACUUGGCUGUUUAUUAUUAUUUGCAGAGACAGGGUCUCCCUAUGCUGCCCAGGCAUGUUGUGAACUCUUGUGCUUAAGCAGUCUGCUACCUCGGCCUCCCAAAGUGCUGGAAUUACAGGUGUGAGCCACCACAACUUACUCAGCCUUUUUACUUUGUGUAAGAAUAGCAUCAGUGUAUUAAAAAUAUAACGGAAAUUAUUUAUGGUGUCUUUUCAAUUCUUAUCCAUUAAAAUUCUCUUGUUAGAGCCUUUUAUUAAUGGUUAUACUGUAUUUUCUGUGAAAUUUUACUGUCAUACACUACAUGCCAAUGAUUCAAGGUACCCGAACUUCAUGACUGCACAGUCACAGUAGAAUAUUUUAGUUAUCUAAAAAAUAUUUUUAUAAAUGAUAUAUCAAGUUUAUAUGCAAGGUAGCCUGGUCUGGUAGCAGGUGCUUGUAAUCUCAGUGAAGGCUGAGGCAGGAGAAUGGUUUGAACUCAGGAGGCGGAGGUUGAAAUGAGCCGUCGUCUGGCCACUGCACUUCAGCCUGGGUGACAGAGUGAGACUCUGUCUCAAAAAAAGAAAAAAAACUUUGCUUGCAAGAUUUUAUGAGUAAAUAUGUUUCUUGUUUUUCUUUACAAUUCCAUAUUACUGUCUCGAUUAUUUAGAAUAGGUUUCAGGGCAGCUGUUGAUUUUAUUUUCGGUUUUACGUAUGUAUUAUAACAUUGGAUGUUAUAAUUUCCAACUCUGCCUGUACACUUCAAGUCAAUGUGGAUUUUUAAAAAAAUUUUAAUAGUACAAACUAUUCAUGGAUUCAACUUCAUAAUGUUAAAAGCAAUGGCAGCUCCUGGUUUAAAAAGGGAACGGUGGAAGCAGCAGGCCAUUUUAUUUAAAAUCGCGUUAGGUUUUUCGGAUGGAUGAUAGUUAAGAUCAUUAAAUCCCAUUACUGCUUCUAAGAUUUCCACAAAAUAGCACAUUAAAUCCUCAGUCCUAAGCAAUCACGACAGAGAUUCAAAAUUGCCUCUCAAUGUCAAGGUAAACAGCGCACUGUCUUCUCUUCCAGUAAAGGAACAUCAUUUGAUAUGCAAGGGAGAAUAGCAAUCAGACACUUACAAGAUCCUGCUGUAGAAAUAACUUCCAUGUUUUCAUCCGCCAUGUGUAUCCUCACCUCUGUCUCCCAUGCAGUAACACUAUCAGUUUCCUCAUCUGUCCUUUCUACUUUCUUUGAAAGAGCAUGCUGAUUGCAGACAAUACACGACAGAGGCAUUUCAAAUCAGAAAGCAGUUUCUUGAGAUAUACGUGAUUUUAGUUUUAAGUAGAAUGUCCUGAAGAGUUUUAGUUACAAUACCACCUUCAAGAGGAUGGUGGUGAAAUUCAUAGUAAACAUUUGGCAAAAUAUAGGUUAUGAGGCAGCCAUCUCCUAGAAACACUUCAUCGGGGUUUAUAUAUGAAAUGUGAAGUAUCGUAGGUUUAAUCCUGGCACAGAACCAAAACUGAAUGCAUUGCACUUGAACAGCUGACCAGUCCCCAGCACAGGUCCAUAUCAAGAAACGGAGAAGAAAGAAUCCUUUUAACCACAGAAAGGUCUUCAUUUGCCCAAAUUGAAAACCAAAUUUCACUCAGGAAACCAAUGUUGGGUUUAAUUAAAAUAUAAAUCGGUCAUACGUUUUCAAAAUUAAAUUAUAUGUGUGUUUGUUUGUCUCUAUAAAUAUGUCCCCAACUUUGCUCAUGGCUUAUCUUCCAUAUUUUUUGGCUGAUUUUCAGUGGCUGUCUUUUCUUGUGUGGAUGAAUAGUCAAUGAAAUAGUCUUAAUUUCACAAUGUGUUUAAUUAUAAAUCUAUACUUCCUUUGUGUGAGAGAAAAUCUUUUGUGAACAAAAUUUAAUUUUUGGAAAGCUUUAUAAGUCCAUAUCUUUCCUUUUAAAAAUUGCGAUUGUGGUAAAAACACAUAAUGUAAAAUUUACCAUUUUAAUUCUUUUUAAGUGUAUAUUUCAUUAGCGUUAAGUACAUUCACAUAGUUAUGCAAAAGACCUGCGGAACUUCUGUGUCUUGCAAAACUAACAUUAAAUGUCUUUUAAGACAAUUGCCCAUUUUACCAUCUCUUGAGCCCUUGACAAACACCAUUCUAACUUUUUUUUUCCUAUGAGUUUGUCUACUUAAGAUACCUGAUUAUGAAUGGAAUCAUAGACUGUCACUUUGUUCCUGGCUUAUUUCAGUUAACGUGAUAUUCUCCAGAAUUAUCAUAUAAUGUGACUUUUUAAAGACUGAAUAAUAUUCCACUUUGUGUAUGUGCCACUUGUUAUUAAUCUGUUCAUUGGUCAAGGGACAUCUGGAUUGUUUCUGCCUUUUGGCUUGUGUUAGUAAUGUUGCAAUAAAUUUGGGUGUGCAAAUA